CGGGGGAGUGUGUUUGUGUGUGGGGGUGGGUGUGAGUGCCCGGCACACACGCACGCACACACACACACACGCACACUCCGGCAGGCUCGUCUGAACUUGAAGACACCCCGCAUUCCAAGAUGCCCGAGGUUCCUGGGAAUGCCCAGGGUUCUGCGCUCCGGAAAAUCCCGCUGGCAUCUUCCUAAGAAGGAAUUAUCUUCUCUUUGCUUUUUUUUUUUUUUUUUUUAAUCUGGAGGAGAGGAGAACAAGUUGUGCUUUCCCCUCCCCUUCUUCCUGGUAAAUGCCAUGGAUAUAUCCGAAUAAGCCGCUCAGGGCUCUCCCCGCGUGGACGUCGGAGGCCACCAUCUGCCCGCAGUCGCCGGAGCCCGAGGGCUUAGUUGGAGCCCGACUUGGGCGAGGGAAGGAUGCGCGGCCGAGCCAGGGAGCCCGGCCGCCCCGCGGAGCCGGCCUCAGAGCCUCCCAGCCGGGGGUAGAUGCUGCCCUGCCCAGGGCUGUGGUCAGAGGCUUUGCAGCUCUGGCCUCAGCAGCAGACACUGGGGACCUGGAUGAAGAGGUGGAGCGCCCCCUCUCCUCGGGUCAGCCUUGGUGGGCUACCCCAGCCUCUAUGCUCA
rnacentral:lncRNA from 1 species